UUUGAUUUGCAUUUCUCUAAUGAUUAGUGAUGUUGAGCAUCCUUUCAUGUGUUUCUUGGCAAUCUGUAUAUCUUCUUUGGAGAAAUGUCUGUUUAGGUCUUCUGCCCAUCUUUGGAUUGGGUUGUUUGUGUUUUUGAUAUUGAGCUACAUGAGCUGCUCGUAUAUUUUGGAGAUUAAUCUUUUGUCAGAUGUUUCAUUUACAGUUAUUUUCUCCCAUUCUGAGGGUUGUCUUUUCAUCUUGUUUAUGGUUUCCUUUGCUGUACAAAAGCUUUUAAGUUUCAUGAGGUCCCAUUUGUUUAUUUUUGUUUUUAUUUCCAUUUCUCUAGGAGUUGGGUCAAAAAGGAUCUUGCUGUGAUUUAUGUCAUAGAGUGUUCUGCCUAUGUUUUCCUCUAAGAGUUUGAUAGUGUCUGGUCUUGCAACUAGGUCUUCAAUCCAUUUUGAGUUUAUUUUUGUGUAUGGUGUUAGGGAGUAUUCUAAUUUCAUUCUUUUACAUGUAGCCGUCCAGUUUUCCCAGCACCACUUAUUGAAGAGGCUGUCUUUUCUCCAUUGUAUAUUCUUGCCUCCUUUAUCAAAGAUAAGGUGACCAUAUGUGUGUGGGUUUAUCUCUGGGCUUUCUAUACUGUUCCAUUGAUCUAUAUUUCUGUUUUUGUGCCAGUACCAUACUGUCUUGAUGACUGUAGCUUUGUAGUAUAGUCUGAAGUCAGUGAGGCUGAUUCCUCCAGCUCCGUUUUUU